AUUGAACGCUGGCGGCAGGCCUAACACAUGCAAGUCGAACGAGUGGCGGACGGGUGAGUAAUGUAGGGAAAACUGCCUGAUGGAGGGGGAUAACUAGUGGAAAAGGUAGAGAAAACCGCAUAAGAUCAGAUGGGUUCAGAUGGUAUUAGAUUGUUGGUGGGGUAACGGCUCACCAAGGCGACGAUCCCUAGCUGGUCUGAGAGGAUGACCAGCCACACUGGAACUGAGACACGGUCCAGACUCCUACGGGAGGCAGCAGUGGGGAAUAUGGCACAAUGGGCGCAAGCCUGAUGCAGCAAUGCCGCGUGUAUGAAGAAGGUCUUCGGGUUGUAAAGUACUUUCAGCUGGGAGGCGUUACCCGCAGAAGAAGCACCGGCUAACUCCGUGCCAGCCGCCGCGGUAAUUC
rnacentral:rRNA from 1 species